GACGAACGCUGGCGGCGUGCUUAACACAUGCAAGUCGAACGGAAAGGCCCUGCUUUUGUGGGGUGCUCGAGUGGCGAACGGGUGAGUAACACGUGAGUAACCUGCCCUUGACUUUGGGAUAACUUCAGGAAACUGGGGCUAAUACCGGAUAGGAGCUCCUGCUGCAUGGUGGGGGUUGGAAAGUUUGGGCGGUUGGGGAUGGACUCGCGGCUUAUCAGCUUGUUGGUGGGGUAGUGGCUUACCAAGGCUUUGACGGGUAGCCGGCCUGAGAGGGUGACCGGCCCCAUUGGGCGACGGUGGGCGCCCGGGCGCCAUAGGGGACAAGGGGGGGGGGUUUUGUCCAAAGGGGCCGAGGCAUUGGGGAAGGACCCCGGGUGGGGGAGGGCGUCCUGUGGGUUGGAAACCCCGUUCGCUUGUACCGAGGGGUGGGUGCCGUUAUUGGAGAAAAAGCCCCCGCCUACCUCGGG
rnacentral:rRNA from 1 species